AGGACGCUUCCUUCGGGAAGCGAGCGUACACAGGUGCUGCAUGGCUGUCGUCAGCUCGUGUCGUGAGAUGUUGGGCUAAGUCCCGCAACGAGCGCAACCCCUGCAUUCAGUUGCCAUCGGUAAGGCCGGGCACUCUGGAUGGACUGCCGGCGACAAGCCGGAGGAAGGUGGGGACGACGUCAAGUCAUCAUGGCCCUUAUGUCCAGGGCGACACACGUGCUACAAUGGCCGGCACAACGGGAAGCGAAGGGGCGACCCUGAGCGGAUCCCACAAAAGCCGGUCCCAGUUCGGAUUGCAGUCUGCAACUCGACUGCAUGAAGUUGGAAUCGCUAGUAAUCGUGGAUCAGCCAAGCCGCGGUGAAUACGUUCCCGGGCCUU
rnacentral:rRNA from 1 species